rnacentral:rRNA from 1 species
CCUACGGGAGGCUGCAGUGGGGAAUAUUGCGCAAUGGGCGAAAGCCUGACGCAGCGACGCCGCGUGAGGGAUGAAGGUCUUCGGGUCGUAAAGUUCUUUCGACAGGGAAGAAAAUGCCUAUAAGUAACUGUGUAUGUAUUGACGGUACCUGUCUAAGCAGCCCCGGCUAACUCCGUGCCAGCAGCCGCGGUAAUACGGAGGGGGCGAGCGUUGUUCGGAGUGACUGGGCGUAAAGAGCACGUAGGCGGUAUGUCAAGUCAAGGGUGAACUCCCCGCGCUCAACGUGGGAACUGCCUUUGAAACUGGCAAACUGGAGUGUGUGAGAGGAUAGUGGAAUUCCAGGUGUAGGAGUGAAAUCCGUAGAUAUCUGGAGGAACAUCAGUGGCGAAGGCGACUAUCUGGAACAUAACUGACGCUGAGGAGCGAAAGCGUGGGUAGCAAACAGGAUUAGAUACCCCAGUAGUC